rnacentral:rRNA from 1 species
UAGUGGCGACGGGUGAGUAACACGUGGGCAAUCUGCCCUUCACUCUGGGACAAGCCCUGGAAACGGGGUCUAAUACCGGAUAAUACUUUCUCUCUCAUGGGGGAAGGUUAAAAGCUCCGGCGGUGAAGGAUGAGCCCGCGGCCUAUCAGCUAGUUGGUGGGGUAAUGGCCUACCAAGGCGACGACGGGUAGCCGGCCUGAGAGGGCGACCGGCCACACUGGGACUGAGACACGGCCCAGACUCCUACGGGAGGCAGCAGUGGGGAAUAUUGCACAAUGGGCGAAAGCCUGAUGCAGCGACGCCGCGUGAGGGAUGACGGCCUUCGGGUUGUAAACCUCUUUCAGCAGGGAAGAAGCGAAAGUGACGGUACCUGCAGAAGAAGCGCCGGCUAACUACGUGCCAGCAGCCGCGGUAAUACGUAGGGCGCAAGCGUUGUCCGGAAUUAUUGGGCGUAAAGAGCUCGUAGGCGGCUUGUUGCGUCGGUUGUGAAAGCCCGGGGCUUAACCCCGGGUCUGCAGUCGAUACGGGCAGGCUAGAGUGUGGUAGGGGAGAUCGGAAUUCCUGGUGUAGCGGUGAAAUGCGCAGAUAUCAGGAGGAACACCGGUGGCGAAGGCGGAUCUCUGGGCCAUUACUGACGCUGAGGAGCGAAAGCGUGGGGAGCGAACAGGAUUAGAUACCCUGGUAGUCCACGCCGUAAACGUUGGGAACUAGGUGUUGGCGACAUUCCACGUCGUCGGUGCCGCAGCUAACGCAUUAAGUUCCCCGCCUGGGGAGUACGGCCGCAAGGCUAAAACUCAAAGGAAUUGACG